AUUGAACGCUGGCGGCAUGCCUUACACAUGCAAGUCGAACGGUAACGCGGGGCAACCUGGCGACGAGUGGCGAACGGGUGAGUAAUGCAUCGGGACGUGCCCAGUAGUGGGGGAUAGCCCGGCGAAAGCCGGAUUAAUACCGCAUACGACCUACGGGUGAAAGGGGGGGAUCGCAAGACCUCUCGCUAUUGGAGCGGCCGAUGUCAGAUUAGGUAGUUGGUGGGGUAAAGGCCCACCAAGCCGUCGAUCUGUAGCUGGUCUGAGAGGACGACCAGCCACACUGGGACUGAGACACGGCCCAGACUCCGACGGGAGGCAGCAGUGGGGAAUUUUGGACAAUGGGCGCAAGCCUGAUCCAGCCAUGCCGCGUGCGGGAAGAAGGCCUUCGGGUUGUAAACCGCUUUUGUCAGGGAAGAAACGCUCUGGGCUAAUACCUCGGGGUAAUGACGGUACCUGAAGAAUAAGCACCGGCUAACUACGUGCCAGCCGCCGCCGUAA
rnacentral:rRNA from 1 species